AUGCAAACAUGCAACAUCAUUACACACAGUAAAAGGAGUCAGACUGGCAUAUGAGGAGCAAAGGAACCCAGGCAGUAGCAUCGUUUCACAAUGUUUCCAUCACCAUCAUCAGUGGAUGCCUUUGCCGUCCGUAGCCUGAGAUUUCAGAUUUGCAGCAAAAAAAAAUUGAUUUUCUCAUUUAUUGGAAUGCUGUGCAGGUUGUACCUUGCAGCCAUCCAUUACAAUGUCACCAAGCCGUAACAAAAGCAGGAGAGGGAAAGUACAAGGCUAUGUUCCCAAAACACACAAAUGACAUACCUUAUGUGGAGGAUGUGAUCAGGCUUGUGUUUGAUGAGGUAUUUGAAGAUAAGUUGAAGGAAACCCCGAUUCCAAUGGACCUGGCAUCACAGUUUGAGAGACCA